rnacentral:rRNA from 1 species
AAACGGGUGACUGCGUACCUUUUGUAUAAUGGGUCAGCGACUUACAUUCAGUAGCGAGCUUAACCAGAUAGGGGAGGCGUAGCGAAAGCGAGUCCGAACAGGGCGUUGAGUUGCUGGGUGUAGACCCGAAACCGGAUGAUCUAUCCAUGGCCAGGAUGAAGGUGCGGUAACACGCACUGGAGGUCCGAACCCACGUCUGUUGCAAAAGACGGGGAUGAGCUGUGGAUAGGGGUGAAAGGCUAAACAAAUCCGGAAAUAGCUGGUUCUCUCCGAAAACUAUUUAGGUAGUGCCUCGAGAU